CAGGCUGCAACUCGCCUGCAUGAAGGCGGAAUUGCUAGUAAUCGUAGGUCAGCAUACUACGGUGAAUACGUUCCCGGGCCUUGUACACACCGCCCGUCAAACCAUGAGAGUUGGCAACACCCGAAGUCGGUAGUCUAACCGCAAGGAGGACGCCGCCGAAGGUGGGGUUGAUGAUUAGGGUUAAGUCGUAACAAGGUAAC
rnacentral:rRNA from 1 species